rnacentral:tRNA from 1 species
UAUGCAACCGCCGGUAGAACGGAAAUCAUUGAUGUUGAUUAAUUUGAGAGCUGAUCUCUCGUUGCUGU